AACGCCUUUGCUUCUCCGGCUUGUUCUCCAGAGCCGUCCCUUUUUCAAGAGCCCAUGCUCCUCGUCUUUCCCCUGGAUUGGAAUUCCUGUUUGAGGACACCCCAACUGAGACAACUCAAAUCUUGUGCCAUCUUGUGAAACUUGAAGCACAAAAAUAGGAGCCAAUGAUAUGAGCUGCAUAAUAAGGAACAUACACGUUAUGGCCUCUUGAAAGCCAUUUUUGGUCACGGGUGCACCUGUUGAGAAGUCUAGCCAUGCAACUAAAGACGCCGAGGGAUGGGAAUUCAGGGUCAUCAGGUUGAGCAAGAGCAGUAUUCCAGAGGCAUCUUAAGGUUGUUAGAGGUAUUAGUUUAAGUGCACUGACUGGUGGGCAGGUGUCUGGCUUGCCACGUGCACGACCAGGGGCAGACCCACAUGCAUCCGUGAGGGUGCACGUGCAUACGGGAACUUUUAAAAAAUAAUCGUAUAUAUAUGUGUAGAUAGUAGAAAAUGAUUAUAUACUUAAUUGUGCACCCUUAUAAUAAAAAAGUAUUAUGGCGAAUUGGUUGAAGAGUCAAAGAGUGACUGCCCGAGUUUAAAUCCCCUUGAGGCAGCCUUUUUUUCCCCUAUUAUCUCUGCAUAAAUUGAUAAGUUCUUAGAGUCUUAGUAGUGUCCCUCUAUCUUUAAAUCCGGGGUUCGCCGCUGUGCACGAUCAUGACCAACCUUUUUUCUCUAGGUAUAACACAUUCUUUUUCUAACUGAAUUCUCCCAUCACGAUCUUUAAUUCUUUGGUAUGCUCUAUUUACUGUUCCUUUGGACUUUCUUCUUUUCACUGCGAGCAAAGCAUGGAUGGUAGAAUUUAUGAUAGCUCUGCUCUAUACCAGAGUCGUUUGGUGUGAGUUAUAAAGUAUAAUAAUCUUAGAAUAAAAUGUAUGAAUUAUUUUAUUCCAAGUUGGGUUGAAUGUAUUAUUAGAUAGUUCUUAAA